rnacentral:rRNA from 1 species
GAACGCUGGCGGCGUGCUUAACACAUGCAAGUCGAACGGAAAGGCCCUGCUUUUGUGGGGUGCUCGAGUGGCGAACGGGUGAGUAACACGUGAGUAACCUGCCCUUGACUUUGGGAUAACUUCAGGAAACUGGGGCUAAUACCGGAUAGUAGCUCCUGCUGCAUGGUGGGGGUUGGAAAGUUUCGGCGGUUGGGGAUGGACUCGCGGCUUAUCAGCUUGUUGGUGGGGUAGUGGCUUACCAAGGCUUUGACGGGUAGCCGGCCUGAGAGGGUGACCGGCCACAUUGGGACUGAGAUACGGCCCAGACUCCUACGGGAGGCAGCAGUGGGGAAUAUUGCACAAUGGGCGGAAGCCUGAUGCAGCAACGCCGCGUGCGGGAUGACGGCCUUCGGGUUGUAAACCGCUUUCGCCUGUGACGAAGCGUGAGUGACGGUAAUGGGUAAAGAAGCACCGGCUAACUACGUG